GGUAUCAGGCGAGGGUUUGUCCUGCGGUACCGGAGCUGUUGGCUCUGCCUGGCAGGAAAAAUGUCAGACGGUUUCUCUUUAUCCGACGCCUUGCCCACUGGCAGCAACC